GCCAGCAUGGUGGGGCAUGCCUGAAGUCCCAGCUACUCUGGAGGCUGAGGCAGGAGGAUCUCUUAAGGCGGGGAGUUCUGGGCUACUGUAGUGUGAUAUGCCAAUCAGUGUCCACACUAAGUUCUACAUCAAUAUGGUGACCUCCCAAGGACAAGGGACCACCAGGUUGCCUAAGGAAGGGUGAACUGCCCCAGGUUGGAAAUGGAGCAGGUCAAAACUCCCAUGCUAGGCCGGGCGCAGUGGUUCAAGCCUUUAAUCCUAGCACUCU
rnacentral:SRP_RNA from 1 species